rnacentral:lncRNA from 1 species
UUGGUAAGUGUGUGUGUGUGCGCAGGAACGAUCAGAAGAACAGGGGGUUCUUUCAAAACCCUAAGCACAUGAAAUCCAGCAAAAUCAAGGAGAAAUCGAGCAAAGAAAUUAGGGCUUUAACUAAAAUCGUGAUCACCAAGCUAAGGGGAUCGGAAGUUUGACGCCUAACAAGCUAGGUGGAAGCUUGUGGAUGAAGCGGGUCAAACGGAGCGCGUACGGAAAGAAAGGAGUGGCAUGGAUGCAAGGUAAGUAUAGCUUACACUAGUCUUAUAUGUUAGGAUAUUCUCUUAUCGUAUUAGUUAUGAAUGAGAUAAAUACUUAAUUGAGGUAUGAUGUUCCGGCGUGUAAACGUACGGAACAAAGUAGUCAAUCAUGACAAGAAACCAUGAGGAUGGUUAAAAGGAGUUAAAUCGGUAAAUUGGUCAUGCGUUGACCAUAACUAUUGGUUUUGAAAGACACAGUAAAACAUAAACCAUGAUAGGCUAAAAAGUGUUAAGAAAUGAUUAAUAAGUGAAAUGACCGCACGAUGUAAACCGGAGCGAGUCAUGUAGAUGAGAUGGUAAUAAAUAUCAUCUCGUCAACAUAUUCGGUCACUUAGACCAAAUGGGUUAAAAGGUGAAGAUAUCACCCUUUGACAAUAACGACUAAUGAUUUUUGUCGAGUUAUAUUAUUUCAGGUGUAAAUGUCAAAUGGGUAUAGCAACGCUAUGAAGUCAAUAUAUUGAUCUGCGCCAGGUAUGUGAAAAAGGGUAACCCUCAUUUAGAACAUGUGGUUCAAAGAGUGUUAAAAGUAGUCAAGGUGAACAUUUGGUUACUUGAUAAGUAACCCAAAUGUUUUAGGUAAGGAACAUUGUAUUUGGAAAGCUUAAUGACUUUUCAAAUAAAAUCAUAGGUUAAAAGAGGGAUUACGGGUCAAAAUAAGCAUACGAGUGAAAACGGGUUUAAAUUGAGUAAUAAACCUGUGAUUAUAACCUAAUAUGGUAAAUAACCUUAAUUUGAAGUAGUGUACGUGAUAUAAAGGUUAAACAAGUAUGUUUGUUUGAUAAACGUAUAAACGGGUCAAAAUUUUGGUAAAAGAGUAAUAAGCCAAAGACUUAAAAGUCUUAAAUUUUAUUAAUUCGGAUGUUGGAUUUUAACUCCAUAUGAUGGAAGAUUAAAUUACAAUCAUGUAGGAAGAAACGGUAGAUCAAACGGAUAAGCGGUUUGAAAGAUACGAAAGUUUUCGUGUCGAAUAACGGCAAAAAUAGAGAAGCUGGAUGCAGAGUCCACCGUAAUUUACGGUCCCACCGUAAAUUACGGUGGAGAUGAAUUGGUUACGGUGCUAAUUGUCUGUUGUACGGUAGAAGAAUAGAAACCCAGGGGCCACCGUAAUUUACGGUCCCACCGUAAAUUACGGUGGAGAUUAUUUUUUUUAUAUAUAUUUUGUUUUCAUUUGAAAAUUAAUUGUUUCCCGGACAUCGUUCGGACAUGAUUUAAACCCCGUAUGACUAAAGCAUUUCAUGUUUAUGAAAUGUAGGUACACCUUGGGCGCCGGAAGACGAUCAAGCUCAGCGAAGAACCGAACACGAUAAUGAUACACGCUUCCGCACUUUGCUACGUUGUAAUUUUUAAACAACGAAUUCGAUCACGUUAUGUAGAAUAACUUAUGAUUUAUAAAAGUUUUAAUAAACCCGUAUU